rnacentral:rRNA from 1 species
GACGAACGCUGGCGGCGUGCUUAACACAUGCAAGUCGAACGGAAAGGCCCUGCUUUUGUGGGGUGCUCGAGUGGCGAACGGGUGAGUAACACGUGAGUAACCUGCCCUUGACUUUGGGAUAACUUCAGGAAACUGGGGCUAAUACCGGAUAGGAGCUCCUGCUGCAUGGUGGGGGUUGGAAAGGUUCGGCGGUUGGGGAUGGACUCGCGGCUUAUCAGCUUGUUGGUGGGGUAGUGGCUUACCAAGGCUUUGACGGGUAGCCGGCCUGAGAGGGUGACCGGCCACAUUGGGACUGAGAUACGGCCCAGACUCCUACGGGAGGCAGCAGUGGGGAAUAUUGCAGAAUGGGCGGAAGCCUGAUGCAGCAACGCCGCGUGCGGGAUGACGGCCUUCGGGUUGUAAACCGCUUUCGCCUGUGACGAAGCGUGAGUGACGGUAAUGGGUAAAGAAGCACCGGCUAACUACGUG